CUGGCUUCCACUUCCGUGGCUCACCAGGAAACUGUGAAGCACAUAUAAAAAUCCACAGGAAGUUGGAAAGAUUUUUUAUUACUAGCCUUGAGGCAAUUCACAUGCUUUUUGCAAAGCUGUUAUAAACUGACAAAUAUACAAGAUGGAUGAUAUUGUAACACACACCUAGAGUGAAAAUGGAGUGCAGAACAAAAUGAUCCACAUCAGAAGGGAAAGAAGUUAGUCAGAGAGGCUGAACAUCUGCAAGACUUUUGAACAGCAUCAGCUCUGGCUGGACAAACUGCAUGCAUUUUGCCUACACAGAAAAAGAUUACUUCUCUUCCAAAUAACCUUGCUCAACCUACAAAAGCUUGCCGUUUUAUUCAUCAGUGAGAGGCAGUUAGUCAAGAUUCUAGCUGCCAUUUGUGACUCAUCCACACCUGUGAAGGCUAACACCAUACUCAAUGAUGAAAACCUGAAAACUUUCCCUAAGAUCAAGAACAAGGCGGGGCAGUUCCAAGAUGGCCGAAUAGGAACAGCUCCAGUCUAAGCUCCCAGC
rnacentral:lncRNA from 10 species